AUGGCGCCGCCGUCGUCCUUGCUGCGCGACCUGCUCAGCGUCGAUGGCUUCAAGAAAAACCGCAAGCAGCCGGACAACAACCCCUCGGCCGCGCCGCGGACCACGAGCAUGCCCCUCCAGCACCGGCGCCCCACCAAGCCCGCGCGGUCCCAGUCCGACGUCCAGCAGGCCCGCGGCCGCCUCAACCUCGACGCCAACGGCGACGGCGCCGGCGAGGAGCAGACCCCGCGACGGAAGUCGUCGGCGUCGCUGAGGACCGCGACGAGCUACAAAGUCAAGGACGGCGGCAGCGGCCCCGGCGCGAUACCGGCCCUCGACGAGUCCGCCCUCAGCGCGCUCAUCUCCCUGGCCGCGGGCACGGUGAAGCAGUUCGCCAAGGACGAGGCCUUCCGCGCGUUUCUGCGGAGCGGCUGCACGUCGUGCGUCGGCGAGUCCGACCACCGCGCCGUGCUGGACCUCCGCGUGACCGUGCAGACCGUGGAGAGGGCCGCCGCGGUGGGGGAGGCCCUGCUCGACCCGCGCGAGCUGAAGCGCGCCUCCCUCAGGCUGCACUCCCUGGCGUCCCUCGACGCGGACGAGGCGCUCUCGGUGACCGCGUCGGGGGUGCCCCACGAGCGCCUCGCCGCGUGCGCGCACCUCUACAUGUGCGUCGUCUCCAAGCUGCAGAAGAAGGACCACUCCUCCGCCGUGCACGCCCUGGAGGCCUUCUGCCUGGCGCCGCGCGAGGCACGGACGGUCCUCCUCCCCGCGCUGUGGGACAGGCUCUUCCGCCCGGGCCUCUCGCACCUCAAGGCAUGGCGCGACCGGGAGUCUGCGGCGGCGAGAUCGAAGCCGGACGCGAGGGUGAAGGACGUCGUGGAGAAGCUCUUCGUCGAAGCGCUGGACGAGGGCACGCGCGCGCUCGCGUGCUACUACAGGGACUGGCUGCUGGGGCGCACCGAGGCGAUGGCGCUCCCGUCCGUUCCCGCGCCUCCGAGCACGGCUCCUCCCGCCACCGCGCCGAGCACUGCCCCUGCCAGCGCGACGAGGUUCUCGACGUCGACGACGUACGACAUCGGCUCGGACGUCGCGUACAGCUCCGGCACCCCGAGUCCUGCCAUGUUUGUGAUCGAGGAGACGCCGCGGCAACCUGAGCGGGUGGUGCAGGAGGAAGGCAAGGCCGCGGACGCCGACAGCUCAGGGAGCGUGUUCCACGAGUGUGACGACGGCGAGGUAAGGAGCUGCAGUCCGACGCCACGGGGAGAAUCAAGCGAGCCCGUGCCUCCUAAUAUGCUCGCCAACGAGGCAUUUGAACCACGGAUCGAAGAUGAACGGGGCAAAGGAGCAGAGGAGUCGACGAGCUACCUGCCGGCUCGCGACAUGUCAGCCAUUGACCUCCUCACACUCGAGUUCUGCGAAGGGCCGCUCGAGAUCAGUGGCGCGGACGGCGGCCAAGUCCAGGCCUCCAUUUUCUCCACCGCCCCGAGCGACUUCCUCUGCCCACUGACGCGGCAGAUCUUCAACCGGCCCGUAACAAUCGAGACGGGCCAGACGUUCGAGCGGCACGCCAUAGUGCACUGGUUCGACCGAGGCCUGCGGACGUGCCCCGUCACGGGGCAGGAGCUGGAGGCCCUGUCGGUCCCGGACACGAACCGCGUGCUCACGCGCCUGAUCGACGCCUGGAAGGCGGAGCACUGCCGGAGCCUGCGGGUCGCCGACGGCGGGGCGCCGGAGGAGAAGCUGAACGUGGCCGUCGUCGACCGGGUGCUCGACGCGGGGCUCAGCGUGUCGGAGCAGACGGAGAGGGCCAGGCACCUCAUGGCGAUCGGCGGCGUCGACUUCCACCUCCACAGGCUUCGCGACGGGAAGGAGGAGGAGCAGAGGGCGCGCGCCGCCGAGCACCUGCUGCUGUGCGUCCGGGCGGAGGGCAGCGUCAGGAGCUACGUGGCUGUGCGGGUUCAUGGGGAGAGCGUUGUUCGGCUUCUGCGGAGCGAGGUGGUCUCUGCCAGGAGCGCUGCCGUGCGGCUGAUGGUUGAGCUGCUCCGGCUGAGAAGUAAUUGUUGCACAAGGGAAAUGGUGGAAUUGUUCAUACGCGGAUUGUGCACGGGGUCGGUCACCGAGACGAUGGACGUGCUACUCCAGCAUCUUCGAAGCUCGCCGGUCGAAGAGCGAGCUCUCGUUGCUGUUCUGCUGCUAUACUUCGAUCGCACACUGUCAGUGGACGAGCCCGACAGAAGAAACAGCAGCGUAUACAGAGAAGAGGCUGCCCGGAUCCUCACGGAGUCUCUGAGACGCUGCCUGAUCGACGAAAACGUGGUGCCCAACACCCGUAAAGCUCUGCUGAUGCUGGGAGGGAAUUUCUCCUUCUCAGGCGACCUCCUCGCCGAGGACCGGAUGCUGGAGCAGGCCGGCUUCGCCGACGACACGCCUGCCGCCACAGCCGUCACUUCCGAUGCCACAGUGCAGGAGACGGAAGCGGCAGAAAAUGAGGCGUGGCUGGAGCACGUGACGACGGCGCUCCUCGGCAGCGGGAGGCGGCCGUUCCUGGCGGCGCUCUCCGGGUGCAUGAGCUCUCCCGACGCCGGCCUGGUGGCCGCGUGCCUGACCACGGCGGGGUGGCUGAGCCGCUCCCUGGCGUCCACGCCGCUCCGGGACACGCACACGGACAUGCAGCUCGCCGCGUUCUCGGCUCUGGUCCCACGGCUGAAGCGGUGCCUGGCCGGCGGCGCCACCCACCUGCAACCCCGGCACAGGGUCCUCGCCGCCGUCACGCUGCACAACUUCAGCAAAAUCCCAGACUGCAGGGUGCUGCUGAUGCUGCUGGCGGACGGGCUGCGCGGUCACCUGGCCGACCUCGCGGAGCUGACCCGGACGGCCGGUCAGCUGUACGCCGAGCUCCACGAGUGA
rnacentral:rRNA from 1 species